GAGCGAACAGAUAAGGAGCUUGCUCCUUUGACGUUAGCGGCGGACGGGUGAGUAACACGUGGGUAACCUACCUAUAAGACUGGGAUAACUUCGGGAAACCGGAGCUAAUACCGGAUAACAUUUGGAACCGCAUGGUUCUAAAGUGAAAGAUGGUUUUGCUAUCACUUAUAGAUGGACCCGCGCCGUAUUAGCUAGUUGGUAAGGUAACGGCUUACCAAGGCGACGAUACGUAGCCGACCUGAGAGGGUGAUCGGCCACACUGGAACUGAGACACGGUCCAGACUCCUACGGGAGGCAGCAGUAGGGAAUCUUCCGCAAUGGGCGAAAGCCUGACGGAGCAACGCCGCGUGAGUGAUGAAGGGUUUCGGCUCGUAAAACUCUGUUAUUAGGGAAGAACAAACGUGUAAGUAACUGUGCACGUCUUGACGGUACCUAAUCAGAAAGCCACGGCUAACUACGUGCCAGCAGCCGCGGUAAUACGUAGGUGGCAAGCGUUAUCCGGAAUUAUUGGGCGUAAAGCGCGCGUAGGCGGUUUCUUAAGUCUGAUGUGAAAGCCCACGGCUCAACCGUGGAGGGUCAUUGGAAACUGGGAAACUUGAGUGCAGAAGAGGAAAGUGGAAUUCCAUGUGUAGCGGUGAAAUGCGCAGAGAUAUGGAGGAACACCAGUGGCGAAGGCGACUUUCUGGUCUGUAACUGACGCUGAUGUGCGAAAGCGUGGGGAUCAAACAGGAUUAGAUACCCUGGUAGUCCACGCCGUAAACGAUGAGUGCUAAGUGUUAGGGGGUUUCCGCCCCUUAGUGCUGCAGCUAACGCAUUAAGCACUCCGCCUGGGGAGUACGACCGCAAGGUUGAAACUCAAAGGAAUUGACGGGGACCCGCACAAGCGGUGGAGCAUGUGGUUUAAUUCGAAGCAACGCGAAGAACCUUACCAAAUCUUGACAUCCUUUGAAAACUCUAGAGAUAGAGCCUUCCCCUUCGGGGGACAAAGUGACAGGUGGUGCAUGGUUGUCGUCAGCUCGUGUCGUGAGAUGUUGGGUUAAGUCCCGCAACGAGCGCAACCCUUAAGCUUAGUUGCCAUCAUUAAGUUGGGCACUCUAGGUUGACUGCCGGUGACAAACCGGAGGAAGGUGGGGAUGACGUCAAAUCAUCAUGCCCCUUAUGAUUUGGGCUACACACGUGCUACAAUGGACAAUACAAAGGGCAGCUAAACCGCGAGGUCAUGCAAAUCCCAUAAAGUUGUUCUCAGUUCGGAUUGUAGUCUGCAACUCGACUACAUGAAGCUGGAAUCGCUAGUAAUCGUAGAUCAGCAUGCUACGGUGAAUACGUUCCCGGGUCUUGUACACACCGCCCGUCACACCACGAGAGUUUGUAACACCCGAAGCCGGUGGAGUA
rnacentral:rRNA from 1 species